UCGAGCGCGGGAAGCGAGUGGAUCCCUUCGGGGUGAAGCUCGUGGAACGAGCGGCGGACGGGUGAGUAACACGUGGGCAACCUGCCUGUAAGAUCGGAAUAACCCCGGGAAACCGGGGCUAAUGCCGGGUAAUACUUUUCUUCGCAUGAAGAUAAGUUGAAAGAUGGCUUCUCGCUAUCACUUACAGAUGGGCCCGCGGCGCAUUAGCUAGUUGGUGAGGUAACGGCUCACCAAGGCAACGAUGCGUAGCCGACCUGAGAGGGUGAUCGGCCACACUGGGACUGAGACACGGCCCAGACUCCUACGGGAGGCAGCAGUAGGGAAUCUUCCGCAAUGGACGAAAGUCUGACGGAGCAACGCCGCGUGAACGAUGAAGGUCUUCGGAUCGUAAAGUUCUGUUGUCAGGGAAGAACAAGUACCGUGCGAAUAGAGCGGUACCUUGACGGUACCUGACGAGGAAGCCCCGGCUAACUACGUGCCAGCAGCCGCGGUAAUACGUAGGGGGCAAGCGUUGUCCGGAAUUAUUGGGCGUAAAGCGCGCGCAGGCGGUUCCUUAAGUCUGAUGUGAAAGCCCACGGCUCAACCGUGGAGGGUCAUUGGAAACUGGGGAACUUGAGGACAGAAGAGGAGAGUGGAAUUCCACGUGUAGCGGUGAAAUGCGUAGAUAUGUGGAGGAACACCAGUGGCGAAGGCGACUCUCUGGUCUGUUUCUGACGCUGAGGUGCGAAAGCGUGGGUAGCAAACAGGAUUAGAUACCCUGGUAGUCCACGCCGUAAACGAUGAGUGCUAGGUGUUAGGGGGCUUCCACCCCUUAGUGCUGAAGUUAACGCAUU
rnacentral:rRNA from 1 species